rnacentral:tRNA from 1 species
GCCCCGCUAGCUCAGCGGACAGAGCACCGCUCUUCUAAAGCGGGUGUCGCUGGUUCGAGUCCAGCGCGGGGCG